AUGCAAGGAAGAUAUUACUUCAUAACCUGCAAUCACUGUGUCAGAGAGUCCAGUCCUGCCAGCAGCUCAGUGAUGACAAAGCAAAGAUACAGAGGGAGGAAUGAGGUGGUCACACAAGAAACUCACAAAUGCUUGACUGCCAGAGGCUCAAUCUAUUAUGCAAGGACUCCAGCUGAGCCUGUUGGGAAUGGGAGAAGGAGAAGGAAAGGGGAAAAUUCCUGGAAGAGCAACAAACCCAACACCUCCAAAGUAACACAAGCCACUGAUGAAAGGAAAAUUCAUGUGCUGGUACCACAGGUGAGCAGUCAGGCAUCUGCUUUAACAAGGAGUGUUAAAACACCUCCAGGGAUCACACCCUUGCUCAAGUUCCUACCAAAUGGAGAUUCAAUCUCAGGAGGAUUAAUUUUUCCUUUUUCCUUUAGAUGUUUUCCAGCCAUAUGGUGCCAGUCUCAAAAAUUAAUGUCUGAAUCAUUUAUUUUUAAUAGGUAAAUAUCUUCCUUCUGUCUCUUCUUUAUUCAGGUUUCCUUGGUAAGACAAUAACUAUUUUUUUUUUCUUUUUUAAUAGAGAAUGAGCCUCCUUGUCUUGCUCCUUCAGGUUUGUGGAAGUCUUUCCUUGAGAAGUGUUGCCAGAAGGGGAAGGUGGCCAUGCUUGUCCCAUCCCAUGGUGUGGCUCAAGGAAGUGCCACUCUCACCUCACAUGCAACACAAGGCUAUGGACUUCCCCCACCUGCUGUGGUGGGGAAGUCCCUCAGAAACUGUGUUUAUGUGAUAACAUACUAUUUUUACAAUAUAUGUGUCCAGCUCCUCUUACAGACUUCACUGUUAUUUUCUUUCUGCUGCUGUAUUCCAGCACCUUCAGACAAACCUCAAAAUCACUUCAGUAGCCCUGUUGUUCUCCAGGUUGUUUGCCAUCAUGUCUUGCAAGCUGGAAACCUUUUAUCUCAUGAAGGCAAUACACAGAUGAUGUGUGUGCCUGGAUGGGUGUGGGUUUAAGUGGGUCAUGUUUGGGUGCUUUAAACUCAUGAGCUAUGCAAGAAAACCAGCACUACAACUUCCCUCCCCUGGCUCCUCUCACUGAGCUUCACUGUCUUGGUGCUAAAAUAUCCCCCCAAAAGUAGACAGACAGCAAUGGUGGGAAGGUGCUUCCAUGUCCAGCCUGAUGCACUCAGUCUGGGCUAUGAAAGGGCCUGGAUUACACCUUGCAGCUGGGUUGUUAGCUGCAGCAAUUAGAUAUGCACUAGCAUGUGUAAGCAAGUGGAUGUAUCCAGCUCUGGGAGAGAUUUUAAAUAGGCAGCUCUGGUAGUCCUCUCAGUUUCUCUCAACAUGAGGAUUUUCUGCUUUACUGGUUUAUUUUUGGAUAUCCAGGCUGCAGAAAAAGGAAUUUUGUUAAUAGAGACAUGCAGUCUCAUUUGUGAAAAUAACUCCAUAAGUAUGGGAGAACAUUGUGCUGUUGUACUUAAAUCUGCACGUUUUGCUGACUUAGAAGUUGGUACUGCAUUUCAAAGACUAGCUCACUAAGCCUGAUUGGUGUCCUUUAUCUUUUGAUGUUUAAGAAGUUUUUCUUUCCAAAGUCUUCUUUUCUUUCAGGCACUUCAAUGAAAAGUCUUCUUUCGCCCACUUUCAGAACAGCACGUAAUAUCCUUCAAUUCUCCCUGAUUUAUCUUCUGUAUUCUCUUGACUCAAGGCAGAUCAUAAAUUUACUCUAAUUUAUGAUCUGGUAUUCCUUUUUUUUUUUUUUUUUCCUUAAUUUUUAUUCAGCAUUUUCUGAGACAUUUAUUUCAUCCUAAUGAAAAUAAUGUAUCUACUUGGGUAUGCUUGUCCAGUAUACUGUGGUGUCCUACCAUGGCAAUAGGGACAAUAAAUGCAUCAGCUGGAGGCAGAAUCAACUUAUUCCUUGCUAAAAUUUCAUCAAGUAUCUGGAUGUUUUUAUUUUUCCCUUGAACUACUAAUACUUACAUGUUCAAAUGCAAAAAAGUGUGUUUAAAAAUAAAGUGAAGGGUCAAACUCUGACCUUGUCUUCUGUGGGAACUGCACUGAUGUGGUGCUCAAGAACAUGCUCUGCUCAGAAUUCCAGAGUAGAAAGAAGAAUCCUUUUUAUUUUCUUUUGAUUUUUUUGGUGCAGCAAUAGACCCACUUUUGUCUUAUUUGAAGGCUUUAAAACAAACCACAGUUUUCUGUGACAGUUCUAGGUCUUGUAUAUUACUUCAUUUUUCUACUUUUCUUCUAGCUUUUUUGUCACCAAAGGUUUUUGCAGAAAAAGAGGAUUAUUAUUAUUAAAGAGGUCAUCUGCUUCUGCUUCAUAUCUCUCUCUCCUUAAACCGUUAUUUUCUGUUUGUGACAUCAAAUUGUUGCUGUUGAAGCAUCACAAAAAUAGAAGAAUAUGGCAUCAUGUCAAAUAACAACGUAUCUGGGAACUUUUAAAGGUGUCCUCAUUUUCACAUUUUGUUUUCCCAAGCCCUGAUUUUAAUGUUUGCCUGAAAAAAUAAUUUUGCAGACAAUAAGCCUCCUACCUUCUUACCUACCUACCUACGUACCUACCAUGUCCCUUGCUAACAUAUAUGGCUACCCAGAGGUUUCUCAUUUCAAUAUUGGCUAAAUAUUUACACUUCUAAAUCAGGGUUUAUCACAAAAAUACAACUAGAUCCUCGGCCACAGAUUCCCUGGCAAAAUGCUCCAUUGACUGGACUUCUGCCAGGGUGUGAUAAAGGUUAGUCAAUUCCAUGCUCCUGAUGGUCCUUUGAAGGACCCAGGGCACAUCCUGUCGUCCUGUCAUGCUCAGUUUAUCUGAAUAGGAGCAAUAGGGAAGGUUUGGACAAGAUGUGGUUCUUGAUGUCUCUCCUCCUUCUGGAGGUCAGAGACUGGCUACAGCAGGAGGGGAGAAGGUGGACAAGAGAAAAAGCUUCUCUAUGUAGGACCAAGCAAUCUCAUGAGUGAUGAAUCAUCUCUCUGAUCCUCAAACUCAGAAUUGAGAUGAUCACCAUGUUAUAAACGAGAAUCAAAUCAAGAACCAAUGAGUUGCCUCUAAAGAUACCAUCUGGACUUUUUCUACUGACAUGCUUCUUACUCUGGCAUUGUCUUAGGCCAUUAGGACCCUUAUUGCUACCUUUCUGUGGUCCUUUGGGGUAUAUGUUACAUACUUAAAAAUGCACCAAAUAUCUUGAUUUUCUCACAGAUUAAUGAAGUGUUUUGUGGCAAAGCAAGGAAAGGGUGUGGGUCCUUCCUUUAUAUGGCUGCCUGUGACUGCCAGAGACUGGAUUUAAUCACUCAAAGGCUUCUUCCAGUUGUAUUACUGAUACUAGUAGUUCAGGCUGAGCUUGUAGGAUAAUUUGGAUUAUUGCCCUGACUAUGCUUUACUUUGCACUCAGGUCUGUGCUGGGAGCAGGACUCUUGUAAUUGAUUCUGAAAGUCUCAAGCAACCCAGAGGAAGGAGCUGAAGGGAGCAGUCUACUGCAUGAAGUCCACAGAUGUAAAAGAUUUGAAACCAUCUGACUUUUACAUCCCAAACUCUUCUUCUGAAUUUGAUUUUUUAGAGAAAGACUUUCUCAUUCCCCAUGCAUCAGUGGAGUCUCUUUGCAUAUCACAGUCUUAAACCUGCCUGAGGCCUCUCGACACUUUAAUCAUGAAACAGAAAUUCAAGAAUCAACAGGAAGGACUUUUGGCAGCCACCACAAUCCUGCAGAUACAGUCCCUUCCUUAUUUUCUCUCGAGUUUGCUGCAGAAUUUGGCUGGAUUGGCUGUGGGACUAUUCUUUCAUUGCCUGCUUCUCUGCUGGGGUUUUGGAGACCUCAUCACAGUUCUUCUUAUCACCCCCUCCAUGCUCCUUUGUUUGUCACGUCUCUUUCAUCGUCUUUCAUCAGGCAGGAUCAUGCAGUCUCUCAGACACUGUACCUCACCCCACAGACAUGUAACAAAUCUGCAAGGCUGCAUUAGUAUUCUGGCCAGGAGGCAUUGCCCUGGCAUGGGAACUGGAGAGCAAACCAUCAGGGCACAUGGAGGGGCUGAGGGAGAGUUACCAAAGCUGCUCUUCAGUGCUCCAUCAUGGAUUCACAUGGCCCAAUGGGUCUGAAUGCCACAUCAAAUAUGACAGACUAGACGUACCCCCUGCACUGCACCCUCAGUGCCUCUGAUCAUCUCGGUGGCUUUUCUGAAAGGGAAAGCACAGGGGACUGCGCUGCAGUCUUCUCAAGAUAGCCCCAUGGAAGGUCUAGGGGAGAUGGGAAGAUCCAUGCUGGUCCCAUGGUAAUGAGCCCUGCAUAGCUUCUGGAAUGACUUACAAGGAAGGAAGCCACCUCUGCCUACAAAGAAGAGAAGAAAAUAUGAGUCAAAAUGUUGCCACAACGAUUUUACAGAUAUAUUACAGAUGUAUUGAUAGAAAAAGCAGGAACUAAAACACACAGUAUAAUGGGAAAUAGAAGGUUUAGAAAACAUCUAUUGUACUGCAGAGAUAAAGAGAUGCCAGUGAAUGUAUUUUUUAAAUGGAA
ensembl:lncRNA